rnacentral:ncRNA from 2 species
AGCAGAGUAGGUUUUUGUGCGUUAAGUGCUAGCAAGACGGGAAGUUGCUUGUUAGACGAAAAAUAAUUCUAUUUGCGAUACAUAAACCGCAUUCCGCUGCU